UAGCCGGUCGCGACGUGUUUGGCUGGCAAACGAAGGGUCGUGGGUUCGAAUCCCACCCGCCUAA
rnacentral:tRNA from 2 species